AAAUUUAAAUAUAGUUUUUAUAAAAAUAUAUAAAAUUUUCUUUAUAUACUCACAUAUAAAUUAUUAUAUUUAUAGAAGAAAUAUUUAUGUAUUUAUUAAAAUUAAAAUAGAUAUUUUAUAAAAAAUAAAUUUGGCUAAACUUGUGCCAGCCGCCGCGGUUAUACAAGUAAAUUUAUUUUUAAUAAUUAUAUUAAUAAAAAUAAAUUUACAAAGUUAAAAUUUAAUAAGGUGAAAUUUAUAAAUUUUUAUUUUUUUUUGUGAAUUGAUUUUAAAUAAAUUUCAAUUUAAACUAGGAUUAGAUACCCUAUUAUUUGAAGCUUUAUAUUGUUAGUAAGUAAAAUUUAUGAAAUCAUAAAAUUUUGGCGGUAUUUUAAGCUUUUUAGAGGAAUUUGCUCUGUAAUGGAUAAAACGCCCAAAUCUUACUUAAUUUAGUUAAGUCAAUUUGUAUACCACUAUAAUUAAAUAUAUUGAAUAAUAAUAUUUAAGAUUUUUUAUUUAAAAUAAAUAUAUUAAGUCAAGGUGCAAUAAAAAAUUAUGUAUGAAGUGAAUUACAAUGAUUAUAAUUAAUUUUAUUAUGAAAAUAAAUUUAGGAUUUAAAAGUAAAAUUUUAAUAGAAUGGAUAUUUGAAUUAAGCUCUAAAAUAUGUACAUAUCGCCCGUCGCUCUCAUUAUUGAGAUAAGUCGUAACAAAGUAAAAAUACUGGAAAGUGUUUUU
rnacentral:ncRNA from 1 species